GAUGAACGCUGGCGGCGUGCCUAAUACAUGCAAGUCGAGCGAACGGACGAGAAGCUUGCUUCUCUGAUGUUAGCGGCGGACGGGUGAGUAACACGUGGAUAACCUACCUAUAAGACUGGGAUAACUUCGGGAAACCGGAGCUAAUACCGGAUAAUAUUUUGAACCGCAUGGUUCAAAAGUAAAAGACGGUCUUGCUGUCACUUAUAGAUGGAUCCGCGCUGCAUUAGCUAGUUGGUAAGGUAACGGCUUACCAAGGCAACGAUGCAUAGCCGACCUGAGAGGGUGAUCGGCCACACCGGAACUGAGACACGGACCAGACUCCUACGGGAGGCAGCAGUAGGGAAUCUUACGAAAUGGGCGAAAGCCUGACGGAGCAACGCCGCGUGAGUGAUGAAGGUCUUCGGAUCGUAAAACUCUGUUAUUAGGGAAGAACAUAUGUGUAAGUAACUGUGCACAUCUUGACGGUACCUAAUCAGAAAGCCACGGCUAACUACGUG
rnacentral:rRNA from 1 species